UGGGGAAUAUUGCACAAUGGGCGAAAGCCUGAUGCAGCAACGCCGCGUGAGUGAUGAAGGCCUUCGGGUUGUAAAGCUCUGUCUUUUGGGAUGAUAAUGACGGUACCAAAGGAGGAAGCCACGGCUAACUACGUGCCAGCAGCCGCGGUAAUACGUAGGUGGCAAGCGUUGUCCGGAUUUACUGGGCGUAAAGGAUGCGUAGGCGGAUUUUUAAGUGAGAUGUGAAAACCCUAAGCUUAACUUGGGGACUGCAUUUCAUACUGGAAAUCUAGAGUGCGGGAGAGGAGAAUGGAAUUCCUAGUGUAGCGGUGAAAUGCGUAGAGAUUAGGAAGAACACCAGUGGCGAAGGCGAUUCUCUGGACCGUAACUGACGCUGAGGCAUGAAAGCGUGGGUAGCAAACAGGAUUAGAUACCCUGGUAGUCCACGCCGUAAACGAUGAGUACUAGGUGUAGGAGGUAUCGACCCCUUCUGUGCCGCAGUUAACACAAUAAGUACUCCGCCUGGGAAGUACGAUCGCAAGAUUAAAA
rnacentral:rRNA from 1 species